AACUACGGCCAUGCCACUCUGAACAAGCCCCAUCCUGUCUGGCAGGGUCGGGCCUGGUUAGUACUUGGAUGGGAGACCACCUAGGAAGACCAGUGCUGUAGGCA
rnacentral:rRNA from 1 species